ensembl:snoRNA U3 Small nucleolar RNA U3
AAGACUAUACGUUCAGGGAUUCAUUUCUAUAGUUUCUGACUAGGAAAUGCGUUUCAAAAGUGUUGAGUCUCGCAAAUCACGAUGAUGAGUGAUACUGUUGCUCUUUGAGCGUGAAUCAGGCACAACGUGAGGUAUCUAUCUCAUGCUUUGUCAUUGAUGAGUGUUCCUGUUCUUCUUUGGAGAGGCAGGAGGAGAGUUGACAUUUUCAGAGUGGU